ensembl:rRNA 5S_rRNA 5S ribosomal RNA
GCUUACGACCACACCGGCCUGAGUACGCCUGAUCUCGUCUGAUCUCGGAAGCUAAGCAGGGUCGGGCCUGGUUAGUACUUGGAUGGGAGACUUCCUGGGAAUACCAGUGCUGUAAGCU